rnacentral:lncRNA from 1 species
UGUAAAUCUUUCAAGAAAUAAUUUACUUUUGUUUUUUACUUCAUCAAAAUGUCCCUGCAGCGACGACACACUCUUCUUCAAAUGUGUCUCCAACAUCAACCUUAUCAACACCGCCUGCCAGUACAAAUGAGACUCAAGCAACACCUACAACACCCUCUACCAGUGCAAACACUUCUGAGUCUCAAACAACACCACAUACAACACCACCCUCCAGUACAAGCUCUUCUACAACUGAAACUCACACAACAGCAUCUACAACUCCCUCUACCAGUGCAAACACUUCUGAGUCCCAAACAACACUUCAUACAACCACUGCCACAGCACACUCUUCUUCAACUGAGCCAACAACAUUAACUACUUCAGGUCAGUAUUUUGAUUCAUGGACUACAGUGUCAAAAUAAAACAUACAAUUAUAAAAUAAACUUGCAAUACAUAAUUUCAUUGUAUGCAAAAAUGUCUUUGUAAGCUUGUCAGAUUUAAGUAAUUUUUUAUUAUUUUUGGAGUCAUUUAAUAGAGAAGGUAAAAUGCUAACUAUUUUUUUUAUCAUAACGCAGGAUCUAAAUCCAUUUUAUUGUAGCACAACUUUUUGUUUAGUUUUGAAGUUCAACAGUAUAUGAGAGUAACAGUUUUUUUUAUCUUUUAUUUCAAAACUUAUUUUCUGAACUUCCCUCAAGUCAUUUUCUUUCUCC